UAACCUCAGAUCAGAUGUGAUGACCCACCGAAUUUAAGCAUAUUACUAAGCAGAGGAAAAGAAACUAGCCAGGAUUCCCUCAGUAAUGACGAGUGAAGAGGGAAUAGCCCAGCACCAAAUACCUGCCCGGGAGAUGGGUGCAGGGAAAUGUGGCAUAUGGAAGUCAGUCUCCCUGGCACCGCCCAGGGGGCCCAAGUCCUUGUGACUGAGGCUCAGCCCAUGGAGGGUGUAAGGCCAGUUGUGGCCUUCGAUACAUCGGGAUCAGGACUUUCCCGGAGUUGGGUUGUUUGUGAAUGCAGCCCAAAGUGGGUGGUAAACUCCACCUAAGGCUAAACACCAGCAUGAGACCAAUAGCGGCCAAGUACCGUAAGGGAAAGUUGAAAAGAACUUUGCAGAGAGAGUUCAAGAGGGUGUGAAACCAUUCAGAGGUAAAUGGGUGGGGUAUGCGUGUCUGCCUGGAGGAUUCAACAUGGCACCUGCGCUGGCCGCAUGGGCGAGGUGGAUCCCCUCCCCCUCCAGGGGGUGCAGGACCAUCCCUGGGCAUGCUAGCCAUCAUUGGGCACAUUUCCUCUGUGGUGGUGCACCGCAACCAGCUCCGGGUUGGCCGGGAAAGCUGUGUGGAAGGUGGCUCCCCUCCCUGUAGGGGAGUGUUACAGCCCACAGCAUUAGCUCUCGCUGUGCCCCGGGGUCGUGGGAGAUGACUGCUGCCACCCCCACCCCCGCCCCUUGCAGUGGAGGCCAGGGGCCUAUGGCUCUCAGUGGGACAGUCGACUGGGCCAGACUGCCCUCAGUGCAGCCUGACCACAUCCUGCCACCAUGCUGGCAGGCUCACCUUGGGUGCCUGGUCUGUGGUGAUGUCAGUGACCCACCCGUCCCAUCUUGAAACACGGACCAAGGAAUCUAACAGGUGCAUGAGUCCGAGGGUGGGCAGGAGACCCCACAGUGCAAUGAAAGUGAGGGCUGAUGAGCACUAUCUGAGGCAGGAUCCCCCCACCCUGCACGGGGGGAGCACCGCUGGCCCAUCUCACCUGCACCAUCAGGGAGGUGGAGCUUGAGCACACCUGGUGGGACCCGAAAGAUGGUGAACUAUGCCUGGGCAGAGUGAAGCCAGAGGAAACUCUGGUGGAGGUCCGUAGCAGUCCUGACAUGCAAAUCAGUCAUCCAACCUGGGUAUAUGGGCAAAAGACUAAACGAACCAUCUAGUAGCUGGUUCCCUCUGAAGUUUCCCUCAGGAUAGCUGGCACUCGGUGGACACAGUUUUAUCUGGUAAAGCAAAUGAUUAGCGGUCUUGGGGCCAAAAAGAUCUCAACCUGUUCUCAUACUUUAAAUGGAUAAGAAGCCUGACUCGCUGGCUUAGAGCUGGGUGUGGAAUGCGAGCACGCAGUAGGCCACUUUUGGUAAGCAAAACUGGUGCUGUGAUAUGAGCCGAAUGCUGGGUUAAGGCGCCCAAUGCCGAUGCUCAUCAGACCCAAGAAAAGGUGUUGGUUGAUAUAGACAGCAGGACGGUGUCCAUGGAAGUUGGAAUCCACUAAGGAGUGUGUAACAACUCACAUGCUGAAUCAACUAGCCCUGAAAAUGGAUAGCGCUUGAGCUUCGGGCCUAUACCCAUCCAUUGCCAGUGCUGGGAGCAGUGGGGGCUACACUGCAAUGAGUAGGAAGGCCGCCGUGGUGGCAGUGAAGCCCAGGCCGAGGGCCUGGGUGGAGCCACCAUGGGUGUAGAUCUUGGUAGUAGUAGCAAAUAUUCAAAUGAGAGCAUUGAAGGCCGAAGUACAGAAGGGUUCCAUGUGAACAGCAGUUGAAUAUGGGUCAGUCGGUCCUGAGAGAUAGGUGAGGUCCAUUCCGAAGGGAUAGGCGAUGGCCUCCGUCGCUCUCAACCGAUCAAAAGUGAGUCGGGUUCAGAUCCCCGAAUCCAGUGUGGCAGAGACGGGCACCUUAGGUGUCCAUUGCAGUGAUGCAAAUGAUCCCAGAGAAGCUGGUGGGGGCCCCUGGGAGAGUUCUCUUUUCUUUGUAAAGGGCAAGGGCACCCUGGAAUGGGUUCACCCCAAAAUAGGGGCCUGCACCCUGGAAAGCAUCAUGGUUCUGUCGGCAUCAGAUGAGCUCUUGCCGGCCCUUGAAAAUCUGGGGGAGUGGGUGUAAGUCUCACGCUGGGCCGUACCCAUAUCUGCAGCAGGUCUCCAAGAUGAACAGCAUCUAGCAUGUUAGAAGAAUGUAGGUAAGGGAAGUCGGCAAGCCAGAUCCGUAACUUCGGGAUAAAGAUCGUCUCUAAGUGCUGGCUCGGUCGGCUUGGGUGUGAACAAGGGCUGGGUGAGCACCACUGCUGGAUGAGGUGUUGCCCCCUUGCCAUGCUCCCCCUCAUGAAGGGGGCCAGGGGGGUGGCGGUGGUAACUCUGAAUGUGCGCUGGACCCUUCCUGUGCAUCCCCCUGGCUGUGCCGGGUGCUGGUCCCGACUGGCAUCCCGCAUCGUCUGGCAGCUAGCAGCUGACUUAGAACUGGUGCGGACCAGGGCAAUCUGACUGUUUAACUAAAAUAAGCAUCAUGAAGGCCCAAGAUGGGUGUUGACGUGAUGUGAUUUCUGCCCUUUGCUCUGAAUGCCAAAGUGAAGAAAUUCAAUGAAGCGCGGGUAAACGGCGGGAGUAACUAUGACUCUCUUAAGAUAGCCAAAUGCCUCGUCAUCUAAUUAGUGAUGUGCAAGAACGGAUGAACGAGAUUCCCACUGUCCCUACCUACUAUCUAGCGAAACCACAGUCAAAGGAAUGGGCUUGGCAGAAUCAGCGGGGAAAGAAGACCCUGUUGAGCUUGACUCUAGUCUGGCACUGUGAAGAGACAUGAGAGGUAUAGAAUAAGUGGGAGGCCUUGGCUGCCGGUGAAAUACUACUACUCAUCAUUUUUUCACUUACCCUGUGAGGUGGGAGCAUGAGCCCCUCCGGGGCUCUCGUUUUUGUCUCUAAGUGCCUGGGUGUCCAUGCGCGACCCGCUCCAGGGACAGUGUCAGGUGGGGAGAGUGACUAGGGCAGUACACCUGUCAAAGAAUAAUGCAGGUGUCCUAAGUUGAGCUCAGAGAGGACAGAAACUUCCUAUGGAGCAGAAGGGCAAAAGCUCACUUGAUCUUGAUUUUCAGUAUGAAAACAGACCGUGAAAUCGGGGCCUCAUGAUCCUUCUGGCUUUUUGAGUUUUAAGCAGGAGGUGUCAGAAAAGUUACCACAGGGAAAACUGGCUUGUGGUGGCCAAGCAUUUAUAGUGAUGUCGCUUUUUGAUCCUUCGAUGUCAGCUCUUCCUAUCAUUGUGAAUCAGAAUUCACCAAGCGUUGGAUUGUUCACCCACUGUUAAGGAACGUGAGCUAGGUUUAGACCAUCGUGAGACAGGUUAGUUUUACACUACUGAUGAUGUGUUGUUGUGAUAGUAAUCCUGUUCAGUACGAGAGGAACCGCAGGUUAAGACAUUUGGUGUAUCUGCUUGGCUGAGGGGCCAAUGGUGCGAAGCUACCAUCUGUGGGAUUAUGACUGAAUGCCUCUAAGUCAGAAUCUCACCGAAACAUAACGAUACUUUACCACUGCGGAACUCUGGUUGGCCAGGGAUAGCCGUCCCCAAGGUUGGUGAGGAGUGCCACUCAUCACUGGGUUGGAGCGCAGAUGGAGGGGGCCAUGUCUCUCCAGCAGUGCACCGCACAUUUAUGGGGAACCAGUUGCUAAAUCAUUCGUAGACGACCUGAUUCUGGGUAAGGGUUUUGUACGUAGCAGAGCAGCAAAAAGCUGCGAUCUAUUGAAAGUCAGCCCUUGAGCCAAGCUUUUGU